rnacentral:rRNA from 1 species
AGAGUUUGAUCCUGGCUCAGGAUGAACGCUGGCGGCGUGCCUAACACAUGCAAGUCGAGCGAUUCUCUUCGGAGAAGAGCGGCGGACGGGUGAGUAACGCGUGGGUAACCUGCCCUGUACACACGGAUAACAUACCGAAAGGUAUGCUAAUACGGGAUAAUAUGAGAGAGUCGCAUGGCUUUCUUAUCAAAGCUCCGGCGGUACAGGAUGGACCCGCGUCUGAUUAGCUAGUUGGUGAGGUAAUGGCUCACCAAGGCGACGAUCAGUAGCCGACCUGAGAGGGUGAUCGGCCACAUUGGAACUGAGACACGGUCCAAACUCCUACGGGAGGCAGCAGUGGGGAAUAUUGCACAAUGGGCGAAAGCCUGAUGCAGCAACGCCGCGUGAGCGAUGAAGGCCUUCGGGUCGUAAAGCUCUGUCCUCAAGGAAGAUAAUGACGGUACUUGAGGAGGAAGCCCCGGCUAACUACGUGCCAGCAGCCGCGGUAAUACGUAGGGGGCUAGCGUUAUCCGGAAUUACUGGGCGUAAAGGGUGCGUAGGUGGUUUCUUAAGUCAGAAGUGAAAGGCUACGGCUCAACCGUAGUAAGCUUUUGAAACUGAGAAACUUGAGUGCAGGAGAGGAGAGUAGAAUUCCUAGUGUAGCGGUGAAAUGCGUAGAUAUUAGGAGGAAUACCAGUUGCGAAGGCGGCUCUCUGGACUGUAACUGACACUGAGGCACGAAAGCGUGGGGAGCAAACAGGAUUAGAUACCCUGGUAGUC